rnacentral:rRNA from 1 species
GAUGAACGCCAGCGGCAGGCUUAAUACAUGCAAGUCGAGGGGCAGCAUGAUUGUAGCAAUACAAUUGAUGGCGACCGGCAAACGGGUGCGGAACACGUACACAACCUCCCAAUAAGUGGGGAAUAGCCCAGAGAAAUUUGGAUUAAUACCCCGUAACAUAACGAUGUGGCAUCACAUUGUUAUUAUAGAUUUUUCGCUUAUUGAUGGGUGUGCGGCUGAUUAGAUAGUUGGCGGGGUAACGGCCCACCAAGUCUACGAUCAGUAGCUGAUGUGAGAGCAUGAUCAGCCACACGGGAACUGAGACACGGGCCCGACUCCUACGGGAGGCAGCAGUAAGGAAUAUUGGACAAUGGACGCAAGUCUGAUCCAGCCAUGCCGCGUGAAGGAUUAAGGUCCUCUGGAUUGUAAACUUCUUUUAUAAGGGACGAAAAAAGGCUUUUCUAAGUCGUCUGACGGUACCUUAUGAAUAAGCACCGGCUAACUCCGUGCCAGCCGCCGCAGUAACAC